CUGUUUCAGGCAAAAACACAUGCACUCCUGAAUCUGGACAAUUUUGGGCGGAAGAGCGAAGCAGGUCAAAACCAAUCGCAUUUCCACCACCGCCUAAGACCACGGAGGUUAAAGUCACGGAUCUUGUGUGGACGUUCAACUUCAGCCACGAAUGCACGCUCUUCUUAGAGAAUAUAGAGUUUUCCUUCACUGGUGCUUGCACAUUCCAACUUCAAAAUCCAGAAUACGGCUGGGUGGGACUGAAUACCACAUCCGUGCAAAUUUCAGGGUCGUGGAAAUCAACUACCAUCGAUGUGAAUGAACGCACCGCCACUGUGAUGGGUCAACCGAAGGACACAAAUGAUGGCAGUCGAUACUUUACAGUCACUGCCAAAGGGAUUGAGAAUAUUGCAUGUGACGUUGAACGGCUCGUGUUGCGCACUACUGAUGUGGAUGAAUGUAAUUCCACCCGCCAAAGUGGUUACCUUUGUCCAUCGAACAAAACAUGUGUCAACAUGAUUGGGACUUACGGUUGCUGCAGUAGAGAUGGAGAUCGUGAAGACCGUGAUAACUCGCCUAUUGUCCCGGAUAACCGACAUUACCGUCCGUGUACUUCGCAGACCACUGCAUCCAUCACAGAAACAAGACCUUUAAGCAAAGCUCGGACAAUCGGUAAGAAUGACACACAUGGGACCACUGCUGUCAUCCCAGAAACAAGACCUACAUCCAGAGCUCGGACUACCGGUGGAUUCGUCUCCAUUUCGACCUUCGCCAUCUCUAUCAGUCUUGUAGUGAUCGUCUCUGUGCUCAUCAUCUCAAUUCUGAUAGCUCAGCUGAAGAGAAAAUAUACCAAAGCAGCCCACGUAUGUAUUCAAACUGGAGGUUUACAGAACACGGUGGGAACAGCUGGCAGUAACGCCCUAUCCCUAACAUGCAAUGACGCCUAUGGUACGACGACGUCUGGAGUUCGACAAGAUCCUUCUCUGUACGAUACUAUACAGUAAUCUCUAUUCAUCAUUGCUCAGAAGCAGGACUGAGCUCUACAUGGAUCUACAUGUGCACUGAUAGCAUAGUGACGUUUGGUGUACAUUGUACAUGUGCAUGUGUAUUGUAACUAUGCUUGUAAAUUUGAAUAUUUUUCCAUACUUCAAAGUCCUUUUUGAAUACUGUUCAUACUUUACCACACUCAUUGUCACGCUUCUAUUCGCUUCCUUCUUGCGCAUCUUCCUCGCACGGUGCUGUUGUUACCUCAAUAUGAGGUAUUCCAUUCCUUUCUCUAUGCUAUUCUAGAGCUUUGUUGCAUUGAAUUCUUUUAGGAGCAUUCAGGUUUCACAAAAUCCGGCAUGUUUUCUCAUCGUUUCGUAGAUAUCAACAUUUUGAAACAUGCAUACAACACAACAUAGAUGUAUGUCACUCUGAGCUUAGGCUCUUGUCGAUGCCAAUACUUUAAUUAAUUAAGCUAAGAGAACGAGUCUAGCUCUAAAAGACAUGUUAUAUUUUGUGUGUAGCCAGGUUCGAAAGAUGAAGCCAAUACGUUUGUAACAGCCUGCAUGACGCCCUCGUUUUUAAUUAUUGUUGUUAUUCGAUCUACUCCCCCUUUUAUUUUGCAGUAGGCAUACAAGAUAAUGUUAGUAUACUUGUACAUGUAUUUGAGAUAUUAGCAGUCUGUGCAUUUUUAUAAAGGUAGUUCGCGGCUCCUUUCGUACUUUUUUAGCAGGUAUUAUUCACAAGAGGGUUUUCAGCAUCGUGAUUCUCCACGAUAUCUUGUGGUCUUCGGAGUACUAUUGCUUCAAGGGCGUUUCAUCGCUCUUGUAUCUUGCUUGCUGUGCUCUUCUCGUUUUGGUUGAAUCUAGCCCUACCCAUAAAUGCUUCCCGUCCACACAAGCGCUCAACUGUACAAAUGUUGAAGUUUCUACUUCACUUCAAUCAGCUUUCCAUGAGAAAAAAAGAU